AUCUUCCUACGGGGCGCAGCAGUGGGGAAUAUUGGGCAAUGGAGGAAACUCUUACCCAGCAAUGCCGCGUGAAUGAAGAAGGUCUUCGGAUUGUAAAGUUCUUUAAUUGGGGACGAAAAAAAUGACGGUACCCAAGGAAUAAGCCACGGCUAACUACGUGCCAGCAGCCGCGGUAAUACGUAGGUGGCAAGCGUUGUCCGGAUUUACUGGGUGUAAAGGGCGUGCAGCCGGAGAGACAAGUCAGAUGUGAAAUCCACGGGCUCAACCCGUGAACUGCAUUUGAAACUGUUUCCCUUGAGUGUCGG
rnacentral:rRNA from 1 species